CACGUAGGGCGCAAGCGUUGUCCGGAAUUAUUGGGCGUAAAGAGCUCGUAGGCGGUUUGUUGCGUCGGCUGUGAAAUCCCGAGGCUCAACCUCGGGUCUGCAGUCGAUACGAGCAAACUAGAGUGUUGCAGGGGAGACUGGAAUUCCUGGUGUAGCGGUGAAAUGCGCAGAUAUCAGGAGGAACACCGGUGGCGAAGGCGGGUCUCUGGGCCGGAACUGACGCUGAGGAGCGAAAGCGUGGGGAGCGAACAGG
rnacentral:rRNA from 1 species